AUACAAACUAAUGAGAGGAAUGUAUUGGAUUUGUGACCUUGAAAUUGUCACUUAAUCACUUCUCUACCAGUUUCCAUUCUGCAAAAUAGGGUAAUGAUGACACCAUGUCACAGGCAGUGAGGAUUCAAAUGAAUGUAUAUAUUCAAGAGGCUUAGGACAAACAGUACCUGAUAAUACAUUGUCAAUAAACAUUAUGUGUCAUUAUAAUAAUUUCUAGUACCUUUAGUUUACCCUCUGGGCUUUAGUUUUCUCAUCUGGAUAACAAAAGUUUUGGGCUUAAGCUAAAUAAUGCUUUUCAUCCUUUCAGAUCAAAGACUCAACAAUUUUGCAUCUAACAAUUGUGUAUCAAUUGUUCUGAUGGCCUAUAGGAUGAAUUUUUCAAGUGGGAGAUAUAACAACAGUGGUGUGUUUUCCUCAAACCCUUGCUGGCAGCCGCUGUUAAAGCUAAUGAAACAUGCUCUGCGGUUUUAUUUUGCAGAGUAAUGCCUGGUGCAGUUCCUGCAUUUAUGGCACAGCUUAAGUCUUCCAUUGGUGCUGAGAGGUGUUUUAUUUCUCAGUGAUGCACUUCUCAGCUAGAUUUGGUCCUUUGAAGCCCAGGACAUCCUGCCGUGAUGAAGGCAGACCCAGAAAAGGCGGUGGAGCCCAUGAUACCAGGACCGGCGGGUGAAGGGAAGGAGCCAGGACCAGGCAGCCGGGGGGCCGCUGGUGGCAGCUGGGCAGGCAGGCCGAGGCCCCGGAGGAGUGUGAGGUUCGGGUGUCAGUAAUGGAGAGCCAAAACUAAGCAUGGAGAGCAAAAGGAGGGCUGCUGCCAAGGCUCCUGUUGGCGAGGACCAGCUGCUGACUGAAGACAGCUGUCAUGGCCUCCAGAAACUUGGCCACAGAGUUCAGGACCAGUGUGGCCUGAAGAUCAUGCUGAAGUCCCUGAAGGACCCCCAGGAGGUGGCCUUCUCGGAAGCAGAGACAGGUGGACCUGCUGGAAAUGCAGCAUCUCACUUCUUCCAUUCCUAGUCAAGGACAUCCCACUAUCUACAGGAAAGCAGACCACCCACUCCAUAAUUAACCCUUUAUGGUGCCUAGGGAAGAGAAGAAUAAGGUCUCUUCUUGCUAUUUUAUGAACUUUUUGAGGGCAGGAGCUACGUCUGAUUGACCUAGCAUAGUAUCUGGCCCAUCAGAGCUGCUCAGUGUGUUUUUGCUGAGCGGACCACCGAGCCUGGAAUUGUUGUCAGUCUGUUAAUAUGAAUGCUUUGCUAAUUAAAAAAAAAAACUGGUCAUCAUUCAGCCAGGAGAGUACAAAUGCAGUAAAGAGACCACCAAACAGAGACACAAGGAAUCUUCAGGUGCUGGUGUGGACAGUCAUGAGGUAAUGUCCUCAAAACAGCACCCCUCAGCCUUCAGCAUCCACCACAGGAUGGAGAGACUCUGAGGCAUGCGUCUGCCUUUCACGCUCCCCACCCCCUGGGGCAGUGGGUGUGACAGGCAGCAGCUCUCCUCCACCAAGGACAGACGGAACCCUCAGGUGAAGGCUCAGGGUGCUACCAGUGUGAGCCUGGGGACCUGGACAAACGGCCCACAGGAAACAGUGCAGGCAUGCCGAGAGCUCAUGUCCUCAUGGCUUCCCACAGGGCCAGGUUCCAGAGAACAGAAGCAGGAUGGGCGAAGGCAGAGAAGCACAUGUCAUGCUGUCACUUCAGGUCUAUUCCAGAAAAGUGCACUGGCUGACAGCGGGGUGGAAAAGCCAUCUGCAGCUCUUGCCGGCUCCUCAGCCCCCUGACACAGGCUUUAACAGAACCUGGACAGUGGAGCCCUCGGGUGCCAGUGCAGCUCUCCUUCCCCAGCUCUGGGAGCCGUGUCACGGGCCUCAGCUCCCUCUCCUAUGAGCAGGGAGUACAAGUAGGAUUCCAUUAAAUAACGUAUGUAAAUUAUGCUACUAGCACAGAGCAGAUGCUCAACCCAAAUUUGUUCUUUCCCUCUUUUCAAAUGUUGAGAAUCAUGAGACUCAGGCUUAUGAACUAAAAUAUAUGCCCAUGUUCGGUUCAACUC